rnacentral:pre_miRNA from 1 species
UGCAUACUCCCUCCGUUCCAAAUUACUCGUCUCAGAAAUGGAUGUAUCUAAAACUAAAAUACAUCUAGAUACAUCCAUACCUGCGACAAGUAAUUCGGAACGGAGGGAGUACCUU